GAUCUUGUCUUUCUCGCUUGUCUUUCUCGCUUGUCUUUCUCGAAGAAGGCCACCUCACACAGGACCUGAUAAACAUCUUGACAGCAAACACACCUUGGUGACUCCUGCCUGGCUGGCUAGGCUUCCUGUUUGUGAGCGUCAGUGAUAGCAGGAAAGUGGAUGGAGUCACAUCUCCCUUCAUCUUGACUGUGAGAGUGAAUGUGAGAGAGGCCGGCCCAUGUCUUCUGCCUGACGUCUUCUGCCUGACGGGCCUUACCUACCUGCAGAGUCCCAUGGCAUCCCCUACCUACCUGCAGAGUCCCAUGGCAUCCCCGGGGCCUGAUACAGUGCCUGAUUUCUUACUUAUUGCCGCCCCCCCAGCCUCCUUUGUACAUGGUCUGUCGCUUGCCCUUCCUGCUCACCUUGUCUCUGUACUGAGUAAGAAGGCACUGCCUCCUUUCAUCUCUAGAAUCUCAGAGAGCUCAGAGGGACAUCAGGCAAUCGGGGCGGGUGAGGGGGAUCAGUGACCAGAUCCCAUUAGAGGCAAGAACACUGACAUCUUGAUGGAGCAGAAACUGGGCCUCGGUGAGGCCCUGGGAAACCAAAAUGGGUGGCAGACGGGGGCUAGCCACCACGUUGCCUGCUUUUUCUCACAUCAUGGUGAAUCUUGUGGCCUCAGACUCAGUCUCUUCAAGAACCCCGAGGAGACAUUGUCACAGUGGUAAGGGUCCAAGCCUAACUUUGUGAGAACCCUGGGUAGACGCUGUCAUGGUGGUGAGGGUCUCGGCUUGCCCCUGGGAGAGCCCUGGGCAGGCACUAUAUGAUGGUAAGGGUCUGCUCCUCUGCCUGACUUCUGCCCCCUGUGGUCUUGGGCAUGAGAGGUACCUUUUUAGUUUCUUCCUCUGUAUUCUGGGCCCCAUACUGUUUAUAUUAUAGGGUUAUAUCAGGGAAAACUAGCAGUGGAAGACACUAUAGGUGAUAGCCAGAUGGAGAUCCGGGGUGAGGCGCUAUUCCUAGGAAGAGUGUUGGUGAGACCAAGUCCCUAUUAGGACUGGACAGUGGAGGCUCAGAGAGAGCAUUAAGUUCAGAGGGUGACAAAGUGAGGUCAGAGGGCAGGUGAAGCUCCGGGCCCUCCUAAUACCCACCCCAUCCUUCAGAGCACAGACAGACUUGUAGCUCAGGUCUGACUCUGACUUACUGUCCCAGCUCCUAGGAGGGGCGGGCAGAUCCUCACUUAUCCUUAGGAGGGAUUGUGACGCCAACACUCAUAUCCCCACUUGCUAACUGGUCACAAACAGUUGCUGGGACCUCUGGGUCUCAGUCCACACAAGUUGGAGAAGGCAAGGCCCCUUUUCUAGGGCUGUCAAAGCAAGACUGAGACGAGGGAUGCACUUUCCAGCUCUGGGACAGACCCGUCUCCAUCGCUAGAGCUUACAUAUCUGACCUUGGCAGGCUAGACCGUCACGUCACGGGGCCUGACACGGCAGGGGGGGACAGGUCCAAGUCAGCAUGAUUGUUGGGAUGGCCUAGACUUCACUCUCUGCCUGUCAGAGGGGAGGUGCUUCCUGUGGUGAUGAAUCCCAGCAUCUCUAGACAGAAGGCCAGACAGAAGCUGCCUAACAUCUGCAGCCUGGUUACACAGACACUGCACAGCGAGGCGGGUGUGACACAAGAGAAGACAAAUCACUCUAAAGGAGAAGAGGCCAUGGGGUCACUAGGUCUCCAAGGCUCAGAGAGGGGUAUAUUUCACCCCAAGUUACUCAGCAAGAACAGUAACUAAGCUGGAACUGGGAACACUGGUUUAGAGACCUCAUCACUGGAAAAGGCUAAGGUCGUCGACUUCCCAUCCCAUAGUGGUCUGUCCACACUUCUAGGAACAAGGAGCUCACUAUCUCCUGUGGCAGUCUGCAUUUCAUAACAGCUAGCAAAACAUGGAGCUUAAAAAAAAAACAAAAACAAAAAAACAAAAGAAAAACUACUCCCAGUCAGUAAACCUGCUACCCAGAUCAACCAUCAUAGCUCUUGAUGCUGACCCUUACAACAGCGCUUGCACGGGCUGAGUCUUUGUUUAACCAUAUUUGUGUGCCCCCCCACCCCGCUCAUAAUACAAAGGCUUCCAGACCCUCCCCCACCUGCCGCCGAAGACCACACUUUCUCAGAAUGCAGGGCCAGACUUAAAGAGGAUAAACCAUGGGGCUCCCAGAGGCCGCCUUCCAGCGACUGUUCGAUAAAUGUAUUAACAAUUAGGUAUUUUUAUCAGUGGAAACAAAAUUGACUCAGAAAUAAACGGGGGGAUUUUAAAGGCAUUUUCAAUUCCAGACUUUCACGGAAGUCAGUUAAGUUGGGGAGCUGGAAAAAAGCAUCCAAGGGCUGGGCCGGGGUGGGGAGAAGAUGCAGUACUGUGCAGGUUUGGGAAGGUGAGUCUGUCCGUGUCGAAGUGUGAGAUUAUUAGAGCUAAAAUGGCUGUCCUCACUGUAAACCCCACAGGUCAGAACCCUUUGCCUGCCAGCCUGGCCAGCACACAUUGGAGCAAAGGCACAGACGUGUGGAUAGUUCUGGAUGGUUGCUAGUUCACUGUGCACAAGGUCAAAUGCAUCUGUCUGUCCAUUCAGCCUUUAGACUUCGCACGUGUCUCGAGGGAACCUGGUAUAAUAUCACAGUGAGGAUGUCAACAACUGCAAAUUCUGGGCCACUCUGGGCAGCCCAGGUUGCUCUGGGAGUACGAAAUGAGUGGCUUGUCUUGCAUUCUAUGCUGCCGUCCCCCCUUUCUUUGUUAGCAAGGGUACCUCCAUUUCUGGGGAGCAGUUUCUCCCUAGUCUCUUUUUGCAUGUUUUGGGGGUGCUGAGGCCCAGUCUGGGGUUCCGCUAGAAGAACAUGGUUUGAGCAGUCAGUGUAAUUCUCCUGCACAGAGCUGUACUGGAGCCCCAUACAGCCUGUGGUUCUCAUCGUCCUUCCUGAAGUUUCCCCCUCAAGGCUGAGUGCUCCAUCAGGACAGGAUCAGGCCCCUUCUGUCUCUGAGUCCUCAGAGCCUGACCCACACUGGCACAGGAAGUGCUUCGAAGGCCUUUUGCGUGUCGGUCUCCUUUAUCCAGACAUCUCUUUAGUUGCUGACAUUUCUCUUGUCCCCCACGAUUUAAAAGCACUAAAUGGAAACUCCCAGAACGAAAUAUUUCACAAGUUCUAAACCCUGUCCCCUUCCAAGUGAUGGGAUGGAACCUCAGACCAUCCCAUGUCCUCUCUCCACAGAUAUGGAUCCCCCUUUUGUUCAGAGUACCAGUGCUGCAGCAUCGGGACCACUUUGUUCUCUCUUAGCAACCAUUUCAGUCAUCAGAGCACCUCGGGCCACAUUCUCUGUACUGCCUUCCAUCCUGUAGGAAUAGGGCCAUCCAACAUCACAAGAAUGGAGCGAGUUUGGGCUUUGGGACCUAUCCCCUAAAAGCGUAAGGCCUGGCUGUACAUGGAACUUCUGCCUGAGGAGUUACUCUUGCUUAGUCACCAAGUUACCCAGGGGGCUGUGUGUGUGUGUGUGUGUGUGUGUGUGUGUGUGUGUGUGUGAAACUUCUUCACUCAAAACAACUUCCAGGGAGAGACCAGUCAACCACUCAAUUUCUACCUCGUCCAAGAGAGAGAAGGAAAGGGGGCAGUCACCUCCUUUAGUUUUUUAAGAGCCGAAAUUUCACACCAGCUUCAUCCGGCAGCUUUUGGAAGUAGGGUUUUCAGGGACGCGUGGGAAAUUUCAAGCCAUCCCCAACCCAGCAUUAACAAAAGUAGAUGCAGAAGCAGGGAGGAGGGCAUACACCUGGGAGAGCCAUGGAGCUGGGGCGAUGCUCUUGUCCCAUCUUCAACCCUCAUCCUAGAAGUAUAAGGCCAGAGGAAACAGCCCAGCUAAUUGACAACAGAGAACCACAACAGUCUCGUGUUCUACGGCCAAGACACUCCAGACGACAGAAGCAAUCAAGAUGGGAUAUCCUGGCUAUGCCAACUUCCAUGGGGAAGGAAGGAAGAAGAGGCUAUUGGUCCCUAGCAAUGUAACCGAGAUGAGUGUGGGGCCCUGGCUUGUCAUCUCUUCUAGUCUUUGGGUGGAAGAUGCCUGGUAUUUGGGAGCCAGAUGAUAUCCCAGGGGACAGUAUUUCCCAGGCAAUGGGGGUUAGCUUGAGGGGACUCACAGUCCCACAAUUCCCUGCUGGAUGGCUCUUGUGUGCUACAGAGAGAGCCCCUUGAACGCUCAGUGUCCUCUGUGUGCCAGGAGUGAGUGAACUUUCCUCUAGGGGACUCUUCUGAGUCUGGUGUGUGUGUGUGUGUGUGUGUGUGUGUGUGUAUGUGUGUG
rnacentral:sRNA from 1 species